UGCAGUCGUACGCUUCUUUUUCCACCGGAGCUUGCUCCACCGGAAAAAGAAGAGUGGCGAACGGGUGAGUAACACGUGGGUAACCUGCCCAUCAGAAGGGGAUAACACUUGGAAACAGGUGCUAAUACCGUAUAACAAUCGAAACCGCAUGGUUUUGAUUUGAAAGGCGCUUUCGGGUGUCGCUGAUGGAUGGACCCGCGGUGCAUUAGCUAGUUGGUGAGGUAACGGCUCACCAAGGCCACGAUGCAUAGCCGACCUGAGAGGGUGAUCGGCCACAUUGGGACUGAGACACGGCCCAAACUCCUACGGGAGGCAGCAGUAGGGAAUCUUCGGCAAUGGACGAAAGUCUGACCGAGCAACGCCGCGUGAGUGAAGAAGGUUUUCGGAUCGUAAAACUCUGUUGUUAGAGAAGAACAAGGAUGAGAGUAACUGUUCAUCCCUUGACGGUAUCUAACCAGAAAGCCACGGCUAACUACGUGCCAGCAGCCGCGGUAAUACGUAGGUGGCAAGCGUUGUCCGGAUUUAUUGGGCGUAAAGCGAGCGCAGGCGGUUUCUUAAGUCUGAUGUGAAAGCCCCCGGCUCAACCGGGGAGGGUCAUUGGAAACUGGGAGACUUGAGUGCAGAAGAGGAGAGUGGAAUUCCAUGUGUAGCGGUGAAAUGCGUAGAUAUAUGGAGGAACACCAGUGGCGAAAGCGGCUCUCUGGUCUGUAACUGACGCUGAGGCUCGAAAGCGUGGGGAGCAAACAGGAUUAGAUACCCUGGUAGUCCACGCCGUAAACGAUGAGUGCUAAGUGUUGGAGGGUUUCCGCCCUUCAGUGCUGCAGCUAACGCAUUAAGCACUCCGGCCUGGGGGAGUACGACCGCAAGGUUGAAACUCAAAGGAAUUGACGGGGCCCGCACAGCGGUGGAGCAUGUGGCUUUGAUUCUAGCUACGACG
rnacentral:rRNA from 1 species